CCCAGUGUCGCGCAGGAUGGGUUCAGAGAGGAGAAACUGUGCCCCAGCGCGGGGCAGAGAGGAGGUGGCGCCCCUCGGAGGGAGCCCUUGGCCUGCCCACACAGAUGGCGAUUUCAUGCAAAGAGGCUGGAAGCAAAUGUGAAGGAAAUAAAAAACAAAACAAAGCAAAGUAAUGAACGUACCCACAGUCCUGAGAACAGCUACGAUGCUUCACCCAGACCAGUGCACAUCACAUCAGAGAGGAAGACACAUGUGUGAUUCAUUUUGUUAAGCCUCAAGUCUAAGGAUUUACCUA